AGGAGAAGAAAAUCCCUGCGACUUGCUCGCUCAGAAGAAUAACCGUCAGCGACAGCAGCAGCGACCGUUCAGUUCCGCGAGACUCCGCACAAGGCGAAGACAAGCCCGGCGACAGCAUGGGAAAUGAGGCGAGUUAUCCCUUGGAGAUGUGCUCACACUUUUGGGCCUAUUAAAUGUUGUAUACCAGAGGUCCCCAACCACCGGGUCGCAACCCACUACCGG
rnacentral:lncRNA from 1 species